rnacentral:rRNA from 1 species
GUGCAGCAGUCGCGAAACCUUCGCAAUGCGGGAAACCGCGACGAGGGGACUCCCAGUGCCUACGCUCAGCGUAGGCUGUUCCCGAGCCUAGAAAGCUCGGGGAGUAAGGGCUGGGUAAGACGGGUGCCAGCCGCCGCGGUAAUACCCGCAGCCCGAGUGGUGGCCACUAUUAUUGGGCCUAAAGCGUCCGUAGCCGGCCCGGUAAAUGCCUGGGUAAAUCGUGAGGCCUAACCUCACGAAUUCCGGGUAGACUGCCGGGCUAGGGACCGGAGGAGGGAGAGGGUACUCCAGGGGUAGGGGUGAAAAUCCUGUAAUCCCUGGAGGACCACCGGUGGCGAAGGCGCUCUCCUAGGACGGGUCCGACGGUGAGGGACGAAAGCCAGGGGAGCGAACCGGAUUAGAUACCCCUGUAGU